rnacentral:rRNA from 1 species
UACGAAGGGGCUAGCGUUGUUCGGAAUUACUGGGCGUAAAGCGCACGUAGGCGGACAUUUAAGUUGGAGGUGAAAGCCUUGGGCUCAACCCAAGAAUUGCCUUUGAUACUGGAUGUCUCGAGACCGGGAGAGGUGAGUGGAAUUCCGAGUGUAGAGGUGAAAUUCGUAGAUAUUCGGAAGAACACCAGUGGCGAAGGCGGCCUCACUGGCCCGGUUCUGACGCUGAGGUGCGAAGCGUGGGAGCAACAGG